rnacentral:lncRNA from 1 species
AUGCCAGGGCAGGGGUACCCGUGCAGGGGGUGCCCAGAAAGGGGGUGCCCGGGAGGUGCCCGUGCAGGAGGUGCACUCACACAGGGAGCCUGGGAAGGGGGUGCUCAAGAGAUCCCAAUACAUGGAGGGGUCCAAAAAAGGGGUGCCCAGGUGAUGCCAGGGAAGAGGGUGAUCAUGCAGGGGGUGCCCAGGAGAUGCCAGAGAAAAGUGUGCCCAUGCAAGGGGCGCCCAGAAAGGGGUGUCCAGGAGAUAUCCCAGAAAGGGGUGCCCAUGCAGAAGACACCCGGGAAGGGGGGGGCAGGAGAUGCCGGUGCAGUGGGUGCUCAAGAAAGGGGUACCCAGGAGAUGCCCAGGAAAGGAGGGAUCAUGCAAGGGGUGCCCGGUAGGAGGGUGCCCAGAAACUGCCCGCACAGGGAUUGUCCGGGAAGGGAGUGCCCAGGAGAUGCCCAAGAAAAGGAUGCCCAGGAGAUGCCCAGGACGGGGGUGCCGGGGAAGGAGGUGCCAGGGGCAGGGGUGCCAGCUGACGCCGGUGCACUGGGUGCUCAAGCAAGGGAUGCCCAGGAAACAGGCAGGAAAGGGGUGCCGGGGAAGGAGGUGCCAGGGAAAGGGGUGCCGGGGAAGGAGGCGCGCAGGAGCUGCCCAGCGAAGGGCGGUGCGGGGGCUGCGCGCUGCGGGGCGCGGGGGUGCCGCGGCUGCGGGACGCACCUGUUCCAGCGAGCCGCCUUCCGCCGUUUUCCGGGAGCGGCUGGGCCGUGGGGAUGUGCGGGGACCCACAGCACUGAUGCGGGGAUGGAGAGCCCGGCUGCCCAGCCCAGCCUGGAGAGCACCGGGCACCGAGGGGAACGCAGGAGAAACCGGCUGAGCACCGGGGGAGUGUGACCAGACCGGCCUGGCUCCGGCACCGUGCUGAAGGGAGAACAGAAAAUGAACUGCAGGAAGAGGGAAAAGCCGGUUGUGUGCUCAGCUGGCUGGAGCAGGGUUCUGUGCGCAGCACGGCCAGGGCAGGCUCCGGGAAGUGCCUGGGAUGGGCUGGACUGAGGAAAACGGAGUGGCAGGGGCUGCCUGCUGGCUGAGCAUCUGUCCUGAAGUGCGAGAUGCUCCUUUCAUCCAGAAGGGGAGAGAAAACCGUCCCCUGGGCUGUGUUGUGGCUGCAGGAACCUGAAGCACGCCUCUCCUCUUGGUCUCCUGAUCUUUGGAAGACGGUUCUUACUCUCCUUUAGAAAUGCAAUUUCAAAAUCGCUCAGUCUUUUGAUAUUUGAAGAGUUUGGGUUUCAGGUUUGGGGAUUUUUGCUCUGCUUUUUGCUCUGGAAUUUUUGCUCUGCUUUUUCUGUAUUACCAAAUUGUAUGUGUUUUCCACAGAAGAUUUACAAGCACAAACUGCUGCUGGUGCUGCUGUGGCCAGCAAGGAUCAGUGGGAGGAAAGGAUGUGCUGUCCACACGGCUUUGGGGCUCACCAGCUGUGCCCCCCUUCUGUGCCCCUUGGGGACAAAACUGAUAAAAUGAUUGCACUUGGAUCCCUUCAGGCUCUAGACCAGGGGUGUCAAGAUGGGAAAUUUUGGGGUGCUGCCUGUACUGAAAGGUUUGGGGGGCAUGGGGCAGGCAGGGGCUCUGCUCAGAGGUGCUGGGUUGGGGUCUGCAGGAUGGGAAGCCACAGAGCUGAUCCUUCUCAGGAAGAGAGAAGGAGCUUUCAGGACAUGAAAUUGGGUGCAAACAGGGGGAAGUGAGUGCCAGCUCACCAGUCAGGUAGUUUAGGGGAGAGCAAAGAGGGGUGUGCUCUGUCUGGGGACACCCUGGUCCUCAGCCCCUCCAUGGCCAGGUGACCUGGCAGCUCCCCCACACAGUCUAAACCUGAUAAGAGGUGACCUGCUGGGACUAACAAUAGGACUCUUCUUCCUUUUUUUAAACUUUCUUUUAAAAAGAUUGCCCAGAUGAAGUUAAACCCCAGAGUUCAGCAAGCCUGAAGGAAUCCCCAGGAGCAAGCCCUGCCCAUGGCUGCCAGCCCAUUGAAGGACACUCACAAACUCUCUUCAAACUCAAAGAGCAGCUUUUGACAAGCAUUCCAUCAAAACCUGGCUGGUGCUUGCUUGGCUCCUAAUCCUCCCUGAGCUGUUUCCCUGUUGCUAAUCUCUCCCAGGAACCAUUAAUAAAUCUUUCCUGGUUUGCA